CCGUGGGUCUUUCCCGGGCAAUCGCCCCUGUCCUGGAGAGCGCAAGCUGCGAUGUGAGGAGACUACGGGUGUGCAACAAGCAGGUUUGUUUUGUUCCUUCUUUCGAUGCUCGCUUUUCGUUCUUCAUCUCUUCCCUUUAUCAUAUCUUGACUUUGAAUGUCUUAUUUUAUCUUUAGCCAAAUUACAAAAAAAAAAAAAAAAAAGCCACACUUCUAUACAACUUACCCCAACCUAAUUUUUACUCUCAUUUUUUUCCCUAAAACAAACUUUCUAUACAAAUACCCCUACAAAUACCCCCAAGGGAAAAAGUUCAUUUCUUUUAAACGAAAAUGCUUGUACACAAAAAUCAUUUUGGCCAGAUUUGACAUUGACUUUUGGAUCCCAAUAGUACAUAGUCAGAGCGCACCAUCACAUUGUCGGAAUGGACAAGUGCCGGACCGCCCUAAGACAACUACCGGACCGAAACUGAGUACUGUCGGACCGCCUUUUAUAUAGAGUUGGAGUCUUGGAAUCGAGUAACAUCUACUGCUGGACCACCCUUUGCAACUGCUGGACCACACUUUACACAGUGUCGGAGCCCUAUUACUGAACCACACUUUACAAAGUGUCGGAGCCUACUGCCUAACUACACUAUACACAGUGCUGGAACCCAUUGCCAGACCGUACUUACACAAUACUAGAGCCCCUAUUUUGGUGGGAUAGAUGAGACAGAGGUGUGGGUACGGUAAAAGUAAAAGAGGGUUGUUUAGUCAUUUUUUUACUUUUUAUUUGGUUGGGGGUUAGUUGCAUAGAAAGUGUAUUAUGGGGAAAAAAUAAAACAAAAUCUAAGUUGGGAGUAAAUUGUAUAGAAAAUGUAGUCUUGGGUCAAGAUGCUUACAAGCUCCAUUUGGAGAAGUUGCAAAUGCAGUUGGUUGAGCAGAACUGACAGGUCACGUUGUUGAGCUUGGCAUUGGAGAAGGCUAUCAACGAUCUUGCAUAGGCUACCAGAGGUCAGAGAAUCCCAUGGGUGAGACCACCUCACGUUCCUUCUCAUGUGGCUUCACAUGAUAGUGGAGCUGGCGUCGGGUUCAUCCGAGAGCAGGCAAGCAAGAGGCAUCCGGUGGCUUCAUGGUUGACUCGAGGGAUGAGGGUUGAGGCUACUUCUCCCCCCUUUUUGUGUUUUUG
rnacentral:lncRNA from 1 species